AGGUCGAGCAUCUUCGACGCCAAGGCCGGGAUUGCCCUGAACGACCACUUCAUCAAGCUCGUCUCUUGGUACGACAACGAGUGGGGCUACAGCAACCGCGUCGUCGACCUGAUCCGCCACAUGUUCAAGACCCAGUAGAGAGAGAUAUUUCUGCCUCCCUAUCGUGGGUCGUCCCCAAUGGCCUUUGGUCGCAGACCAUCUUUGCUGCUUGUCUAUGCUGAGAAUAAAUGUGAACGGUGCCCCUGGACGCUGGAUCCAUGCUGGUUUUGGACACGUUGUCUUUUUGUGUUUAACUUAUCUGCUACCGUCCUGU
rnacentral:lncRNA from 1 species